UACAGAGGGUGCGAGCGUUGUCCGGAAUCACUGGGCGUAAAGGGCGCGUAGGUGGUGGCUUAAGCGUGCGGUGAAAGCUCGGAGCUCAACUCCGAGUCGGCCGUGCGAACUGGGCUCACUGGAGCAUAGUAGAGGCAGGUGGAAUUCCGGGUGUAGCGGUGGAAUGCGUAGAGAUCCGGAAGAACACCGGUGGCGAAGGCGGCCUGCUGGGCUAUGGCCUGACACUGAGGCGCGACAGCGUGGGGAGCAAACAGG
rnacentral:rRNA from 1 species